rnacentral:rRNA from 1 species
AUACAGAGGGUGCAAGCGUUAAUCGGAAUUACUGGGCGUAAAGCGCGCGUAGGCGGUUUAAUCAGUCGGAUGUGAAAGCCCUGGGCUCAACCUGGGAAUUGCAUUCGAUACUGCCAAGCUAGAGUAUGGGAGAGGGAAGUGGAAUUUCCGGUGUAGCGGUGAAAUGCGUAGAUAUCGGAAAGAACACCAGUGGCGAAGGCGACUUCCUGGCCCAAUACUGACGCUGAGGUGCGAAAGCGUGGGGAGCAAACAGGAUUAGAAACCCUAGUAGUCC